CUACGGGCCGCUGCAGUGGGGAAUCUUGGACAAUGGGCGCAAGCCUGAUCCAGCCAUGCCGCGUGAGUGAAGAAGGCCUUAGGGUCGUAAGGCUCUUUCGCCAGAGAUGAUAAUGACAGUAUCUGGUAAAGAAACCCCGGCUAGCUCCGUGCCAGCAGCCGCGGUAAUACGGAGGGGGUUAGCGUUGUUCGGAAUUACUGGGCGUAAAGCGCGCGUAGGCGGAUUAGUCAGUCAGAGGUGAAAUCCCAGGGCUCAACCCUGGAACUGCCUUUGAUACUGCUAGUCUUGAGUUCGAGAGAGGUGAGUGGAAUUCCGAGUGUAGAGGUGAAAUUCGUAGAUAUUCGGAGGAACACCAGUGGCGAAGGCGGCUCACUGGCUCGAUACUGACGCUGAGGUGCGAAAGUGUGGGGAGCAAACAGGAUUAGAUACCCCCGUAGUC
rnacentral:rRNA from 1 species